CUGAUGUCCAAGGUUUUCUUAUUUAUAUUCCUAACUUUUUUUGUACACUUUUUUUUUAUUAAUUGAUUGAUUGUUGUGGACCAUGCUUUAAUUGGUCUGUCCAUGAUUGAGAAAAAGUUGAACUGAAAGCUUGAUAUAUACAUCAAGGAAUCAAUUGCAGCAUGUUAACAAAUAAUUUGAUUUUAUUGGUUCUCUGCUCUUUGGUUUUUUUUUAAAUCUAUAUUUAGGGCUCUUUGGAAGGCUAGGUGGGAUAAAGGGGUUUAUAUUCCUCUGAUUGGUUCGUUUACUGGAACGAGAAGCUUGUGCAGUGCUUAUUAAAUAGAUUUUUCUAUUUGAUAAAUAACCAAUCAUCUCAUCUAAUAUAAAACUUUUAAUACCAAUAUACUCUUGGCCAAACUUCAGCAGUUUUCACUAACCUAUCAGCCAUACAUUUUUUCAAUCUUCAAAGCCUCAAGCAUUCUGCAUAGAUUGGUGGUUCUAGGCAAGUGGAAUAGUGGAGCGAUGUGAGAAAAGUUGCACUCGCACGAACCAAUUAGCAUUUAGGACAAGAUGUCAAAAGAUGGAUCAUGGAACUUUGAAGUAGAUGUAGAUAGAAGAAAGUAGUGAUGUUGAAAGAAGAGGAGUCGCACGCAAUAAAGAUUUCGGUUGUGAACACUAAAAGGCAAGAACCAAUUAGCAUUUGAAGACAUGAUAUUGAAAGAUGUAAAAUGGAACUUGGAUUGGAAAUAGAUAGAAGAAAGUAGUGAUAUUUGAAGUCCUAGGACCUCGACUAUCGAAAUCAUGAUGGUGGAAUAAUAAAAGAUGGUGAAACCUUUAAAGAGUAUAAGAACUAACAAAUCUAUUAGAAAAUGAGUUGGGUAAACCUUAGCAAACCAAUUAGAGAUGUAGGAGGAGAAAGAAAUGUAUAAGUUAGGAGAAAUGUAUAAGCUUAUCGGCUUAAAUUAGUUUAAGUGUGUUAGAGGCGAUUUGCAACAAGUUUGAAAAGAGAUAGCGAGAUCAAAGAGAGAUGGAGAUUCCAUAUUGAUCAAUUGCUCAACUCAAAUAACAAGGAUAACCUUAUAGAUCUCAUACAUGCAUGCAAAUGAUCAGGGUAGAGAUAGGCUGGUCUUAGACCAGAGCCAAAAUCACUCAAUUUCAAGGCAUCACUAUAUUACAAUUUUGAAUCUGGCAUAAUCUGGAGAAAAUAUGGGAUAAAUCCAAUCUAACCUAAUAUGUAGGCUAAUCUUCCCUACUAAAUGACCCACCUCUAAUGGUUAUGGAGGACACUAAAUUGCCUAUUUAGUGAUUGACCUUCUGUUCUUUCAAUAAUUUCUGACUUGGUCUUUUGGUUGUGUGUCGUUGAUGCAUUGGACUUACCCCUGAAUGUAAUUUAAGUUUCUCAAGUGAAAAUGAUUUCCCUAGCAAUGUUAACAAGUUAUUGAAGUUACCCUAAGUACCUAACCCCCCCCC